GUUUGAUAGAGUUUGUGAAUCAAGCCAUCUACACCUGCGUUUUUCUUUGCUGGAGCCAGGAUGUGGUGGAUGAAGUUCUGACCCUGUAGAUGAUCAUCUAGUCUUCAAGGAGAACAGGAGAAUAAGAUAGGGAAUUGAACUCUGGGACAGACCCUGCUCACCUCUACACUUAUGCAUGCUAAUCACCCAGGAAGUCUGUGUUACAGUUUUAUUAGCGAUACAUUUACCUCUUCUAUCUCAUCCGCCUUCAAGACUGAGGACAGACAUCAAGAUAAAAGUUAAGUAAUUUUCAAGGAAUCUCAAUUGCAGGUUUUCACAAUGACCAUUUCCAGACCUCUUAGGGUGAUGCAGGAAUUUCUUUCAGACCUGUCAUAACUUUGGAUAUUAGGAAAAACAGCCUUGCAGUCCACCUCAUGAAGACAUCUCUCCUCAAGCAAAAGCAAUUGCCGGAUGACAGGAAGCGGGACAUACCUGUUCACACACAAGGACAAUCGUGGGAGACAA